rnacentral:rRNA from 1 species
UUCUGCAGUUACGCAUGCCAUGAGAAUGUAUAAUCUAAGCAGGGUUAGGCCAAGUUAAUUCUUCGAUGGGAGACUUCAAAGGAAAAUUCAAAUGCUGCAGGAA